UGUACAUUUUAGGACAUCCUCAGACCUCAGUCAUUAAAUGAAAAGGCGUCAUGCCUCAGACUAAAAGGCUUCAGUCAUUGGACAAAACGGCAUCGCGCCUCAGACUGAAAAGCUUCAGGUCUCAGGAAAAACGACGUCAGGUGUCAGGUCUCAUACAAUUAGGCAUCAGACGAAACGGACUCAGACAAAAAGGCAUCAGACGAAACGGACUCAGGUGGAGUGUCGUGUUGCCCCGCCCCAUGUGACGUCACGUACGCGGUUCAGAGGAUGUGGUAUGGAACGGUUGAUGGAUGGCAAAAGGAGUCAAUCAAGAAUGGAUACAGAGAUAAGUAUCCUGCAUUUAAGAUGGCUUAUAUUAUAAAUGUAUUGUUAUAUGUGUUAGCUUGUAAUACUAUCAUGUUCUGUUUGCUAAACUACUGAAUGAAUGUUGAAACUUUCUACAGAAU